rnacentral:piRNA from 1 species
UGGCAAUGUCUGGAGGCAGUUUUGGUUGUC